rnacentral:rRNA from 1 species
UAAUACGGAGGGUGCAAGCGUUAUCCGGAUUUACUGGGUUUAAAGGGUGUGUAGGCGGGCUUUUAAGUCAGUGGUGAAAUCUCCGGGCUCAACCUGGAAACUGCCAUUGAUACUAUUAGUCUUGAAUUUUGUUGAGGUAGGCGGAAUAAGUCAUGUAGCGGUGAAAUGCUUAGAUAUGACUUAGAACACCAAUUGCGAAGGCAGCUUGCUAAACAAAUAUUGACGCUGAGGCACGAAAGCGUGGGGAUCAAACAGGAUUAGAUACCCUGGUAGUCCACGCCCUAAACGAUGAUUACUCGACAUACGCGAUACACAGUGUGUGUCUGAGCGAAAGCAUUAAGUAAUCCACCUGGGAAGUACGACCGCAAGGUUGAAACUCAAAGGAAUUGACGG